UCCUGGGCGUGGGCAGAUCUGUUGGGCUUGGUCUUUUCAUGCAGGUGCUAGAGGGGAGAUUCUUGUCUUCUUUGGAGCACGGAGUAGCUGGAGGCACAAACCAACCACUUGUGUGGGGAAGAGUGGGGGAUGAUCUUUCACACAGGCCCUUCAGAUGGGAUGUCCUCUUGCUGUGGAAACAUGUCACAAAUCACUUGUAGCUGGAUCCCAGUGAUGCAAUCUGAGAUGAGAGGCUCUUUAAGAUACAGAGACUGAUAUCAAAACUCACUGCUUUUAGGGAGUCAGUGCGGGUCCAGCUGCUGUGUGGGACAGAAGAGUUAGCUAAUGGUGCUGGAAAGGCAGUGUACUGAGUUCUUGCAGCUUCCUUGGGCAAAAGAAUUUUGCAAAAAGAGAAAUUUGAAGUUUUUAUAUCCUC